rnacentral:rRNA from 1 species
CGCAACCCCGUCACCUCUUCCCCGCGUGCGCCGCUACUUCCUUCUCUCGUCGGUCCCGGCCGACCGCUCCCUCCACCCCCCAUGGCCGGAUCUCGCAUCUCCCCCAUUCGUCGCGUCUCCCCGCGCGAGCCGUCACGACCACCACCAAGUGCUCCCCCGGCCAAGAACCCCACCCCGAUCCAAACCGCCUCCGCCAUCCCUGCCCCGCGACGACCGGAUCCGCCUCUUUGACGGCCGGAUCGGCCUCUCCCACAUCAGCGGUCGUCGCCCCUGCUUUCCUACCUUCUUCUCCACCGACGGCCACCACCAGCGCCAAGCUCCACCCUCACCCUCAUCUCCCCCAUGCGCCGAACCCUUCCACCCCCACCUCGCGCGAGCUUCCCUCCCCUUCCUCCGACUACAACGCGUCGAGGUCGAUGGGCACACUGGGGCUCACCUCGUCUACCCCCGUGCGGUCCACCCCGGCUCCACUGCAGCCCGCCCUCCCGGCCGGGAGAUUCUCCCAAGCGCACCAGCCGCACCCUACUUCUUCUCCCCUUCUGACGAACAGACAAACAUGCGAGCCUUUGGGCCAUGCAGUUCUGAAAGCUUUUUUGUUUGUUUUUUCAGAUUUGGCCGUUGAUGUGCAGUCCGCCAGUGACAGGAGUGCGUCAUGGCCGAGCAGCAUGAAGCUCAGUUGCCUUGCAGUCCAGUACGUGGGGGCACGCAGCACGCCCCACCGUCGCCUUGCAGUCCAAAUUCCGGAUUUCUUGCUGUUGCGUUGCAUGCAGCGACAAGGAGAAGUACGGAUUCAUCAGCCUCGUCUCCUGCUACCUGAGCUAGUUCUACAAUGAGCAGCUGCUAUCGUUCACUAUCCUCCCCCACAACGCAGUGUGGCAGGGCGGCAGAUUUAGUGCGGCAGGGCGGCGCUUGUAGUGCGGCACUCACAGCCGAGCAGCAAACCCACUGAAACCUAUGAGUACAUGAGGCCGACGAAUCCCUGCAGAAAAAGGAAGAUCCUAUCCAUCAGUUCUUGCAUCUUUGUCAUGUUUUUCUAGUGAUUGCUCUGAUGAUCCGUUGUGCAAGAUAGGCUGAAGGCCCGGCCUUCUUCGGUACGACAUCAACAGAGUACUCUUUGUGCUGAAACCAUGCCUUUUUGUUGUUGUUGCGAAACACAAGUUUAUUAUAGUACUAGAAUCAUUAGCAAAGAAUGUUUGGGAACUUGCUUUCAGUGAGAUAUAGGUUCUUUUUUCAAGGCACGGGAGUUUACAGAAACCUACGAAAUUAGUAUAUUGCAAUGCUCAUUAACUGAGACCACAAGUUAUCUUGUUUAGUUGCAUAAGGUGGAAGGAGAGAGUUUCCAAACUGCAUGCCAUGGUCAGGGCUCAUGUUUUAUACUUUGUAAUUGAGAAGUUAUCUUCAGGGCUCAUGUUUUAUACUUUGUAAUUGAGAAAAUGCAGAGAGGAAAUGAGAGUAAAAAAUGGAUGUGGA